GGAUUCCCCUAGUAACUGCGAGUGAAGAGGGAAAAGCUCAAAUUUAAAAUCUGGCAGCUUUGCUGUCCGAGUUGUAAUUUAGAGAAGUGUUACCCGCGUUGGACCGUGUAUAAGUCUCCUGGAAUGGAGCGUCAUAGAGGGUGAGAAUCCCGUCUUUGACACGGACUACCAGGGCAUUGUGGUGCGCUCUCGAAGAGUCGAGUUGUUUGGGAAUGCAGCUCUAAAUGGGUGGUAAAUUCCAUCUAAAGCUAAAUAUUGGCGAGAGACCGAUAGCGAACAAGUACCGUGAGGGAAAGAUGAAAAGAACUUUGGAAAGAGAGUUAAACAGUACGUGAAAUUGCUGAAAGGGAAACGCUUGAAGUCAGUCGCGUUGGCCGGGGAUCAGCCUUGCUUUUGUGAGGUGUACUUCCUGGUUGACGGGUCAGCAUCAGUUUCGACCACUGGAGAAAGGCAUUGGGAAUGUGGCACCUUCGGGUGUGUUAUAGCCCUUUGUUGUAUACAGUGGUUGGGACUGAGGAACUCAGCACGCCGCAAGGCCGGGUUUCGACCACGUUCGUGCUUAGGAUGCUGGCAAAAUGGCUUUAAGCGACCCGUCUUGAAACACGGACCAAGGAGUCUAACAUGCCUGCGAGUGUUUGGGUGGAAAACCCGAGCGCGUAAUGAAAGUGAAAGUUGGGAUCUCUGUCGUGGAGAGCACCGACGCCCGGACCUGAUGUUUACUGACGGAUCUGCGGUAGAGCAUGUAUGUUGGGACCCGAAAGAUGGUGAACUAUGCCUGAAUAGGGUGAAGCCAGAGGAAACUCUGGUGGAGGCUCGUAGCGAUUCUGACGUGCAAAUCUGAUCGUCGAAUUUGGGUAUAGGGGCGAAA
rnacentral:rRNA from 1 species